UACGUAGGGGGCGAGCGUUGUCCGGAUUUAUUGGGCGUAAAGAGCUCGUAGGCGGCUUGUCGCGUCGACCGUGAAAACUUGGGGCUCAACCCCAAGCCUGCGGUCGAUACGGGCAGGCUCGAGUUCGGUAGGGGAGACUGGAAUUCCUGGUGUAGCGGUGAAAUGCGCAGAUAUCAGGAGGAACACCGAUGGCGAAGGCAGGUCUCUGGGCCGAUACUGACGCUGAGGAGCGAAAGCGUGGGGAGCGAACAGG
rnacentral:rRNA from 1 species